GUCUCCUCACCUGUGGACAGAAGGGAUGGGAUGGUGGGAAGGGAGUGGAUUUAACUAACAAAUGGGUGAGGGUUGCAAUUGGGGGUGGGCAGAACCCCACCCCUCCAGACUCUCUCCCUCAAAUGAACGGGAAGGGGGCAACCCUCCCCCCCAUCCAACAGCCUGAUUUGUUUUGCAAAAUUUGAGGGUGUUCUACACCCAGGCCCCAGGGAAGACGCAAGAGCAGGUGGAGACAAGGCCACUCCACACCCGGCUCCCCCCUCCCCACAGUGUGCGUCCCUUCUUCACUCUACUUCCAAAUCUUCUCCAGGUCUCCUAGCCCCCAGACACUCUGCACCCCAAACCCCUAAGCCCUUCCCCUGGGACCUGUGUGCUCAGGUAAGAGAACCUGGCAAUGAGCAGCCAGCCCUUCCCCCAAACAGACGGGGCAGCAAACACCCGAGGCCUGCCCUCCCGGGGACCACAACAGCUGCAUUUUGAGCCUGAGGCUGGAGCAAUUCAGAAAGAAGCCCCGCCUCGCUCAGGGCCCAGACGUGCCCCCGGGGUGGGGGUGGGGGGGGCAGCGGGAAGUUGCCAGUGCCCUUUGCCCACAAGGGGCAGGCUCAGCGGGAGCCACCCGCCGCCUCACCCAGCACUGCCCGCCCUCCCCGGGCAGGGCCCUCCUUCCUCCCCCCCAGGGCUCCCUCCCAGGCCGGCCGGGUCCCAGGGCUGCUGCACAAAGAGCCCUUUGUCUGGCUGGAAACAAUGCCUCUCCCCUGUAUGGCAACACGGCUGUGUCUCAUAAUCAAGCUUUCAGAGGCUGGAUCAAAGGGCACUCCAGCAGAGUUGUGCUCGGAGCUGCUGACAACCUGUCAUCCACCCUUAAUCCUCACCUGUCCCCAGCCCACUGAGAGCACCUUUCUCCCCGGGGCAGGGCCUGUGUGCACCCUGGAGCGGAAGGGAGCUGGGGGGGACCAAGGAGGGCAGGGUGGGUCUCUCCCGCUGGCACCUUGGGCUCAGGUUACAGCCCCUGCCAGCAGAGCACUGGGUGUGGACGUGCAAAGAGGCACUACCUGGGGAGAAGGAGAGGGUGGUGCCUGGUUUGGCCCGGGGCCACCCCCAUCUCCCAGAUCCCCUCUCAGGCGGGCGGGCGGGUGUGGGCAACCCCUCAGACCCGCCAGAGCCUCUCGUCCCCAUCUGCUUGGGCGCUGGCAGACCCUUCGUAUCUCUGUUUUGGAAUCCAACAAAGACAAGCUCUAGACCGCUUGGAGAUUAAAACCAGCCCCUCCCUCGAGGCUGGAGCCCCCUCUCUGGGGCCAGCGCUGCAGUCAGAGCAGAAAAUCACAUGAUCGCUGCUGGAAGAGGCGUUGGGCCAGUUCCUCCCGGAUCACACGCGAGUUCUGCGCAGCUACCCCAUCGUUCCUGGGAGAUCAUAGAUUUUCUUGGUAUUUCAAAAUAAUGGUGCAGGGCACUGAGAUAGCAACAGGCUGCCUCCACGAUGCACGACACACGUGCAGACCUGUGCUCGCGAGGAGGGGGCCCAGAGGAGCCUCGUGCCACCCCCGCCAGGCUGGCUGUGGGCAGAAGUUCAGGACCUCCGCUCCAGGACCAGGGGACUCGUUGAGCGUUCUGGGUGAGCCCCAGCUGAGGUACGAGAGGGACCUCACAGGUAGGUCAAGGACCACAGACCACGUGUGACCUGGGCCCUGGUGUGUGGCCUGGGCUCUGUGGAGACAGGCAGGAGGAAGGGGUCCCGUCCCAGAGACAGGACUCACGGCCCCACCUGCUCCUCACACAGCAGCCAGACCCUCCAGCCGCCCCUCCCACUCGGAGUCAGAGCUGACGUCCUCCAGGGCCCCAGAGAUCUGCCUGCGCCCCAGACCCCCUCCUGGCCCCUGGUGUCCUCUUCGUUCCGCUUGCAAUCCUGCUCCUUGGCCCCUGGCCCCACAGCCGCUCUGCCUGAGUCUCUCCCCACGACAGGCCCCGCUCAGGUCUCAGACCUCAGGCCUCUGCUCAGCCAUUCCCUUAACCCAGAGACCACCUGGGCGAGCCCACCCAGGAGCCAGCCUUGCCCCGGCUCCAUCCCCAGCCCUUCCCCCUGCUUUGUUUUCCUUCAGGGAACCGAUCAGCCCCUGACAUAAUUAUUUGACUUACUGUUGAUUAUAUUUUUUAUUUUAUGUAUAUAAUCUAUUAUAUGGUGUAAUAUAGCUUAGUACAAAAAUAUUUCAUAUAUCAUUUAUAUAUUUUUUAAAUAGAAUUAUCAUAAAUGAUUU
rnacentral:lncRNA from 1 species